rnacentral:lncRNA from 1 species
GCAGCAUAGCAACAUGCCACGACGCAUGAAGGCGCGGGGGAAGGGGGCCUCUAACAGGCGGCGACACGAACCGACAGUCAGCCCGCAUCACCUGACCGUGAAGUGCGUUUCUUUGUUUGAGGCCGCGCCGAUGUAAUUUUACGUUUGGUGUUUUCUGUCGAUAUGCCAAGAAAACGUGAAAGGACCACCCCUCAACCCCUAUGAAAAUUAUUUUAUAAGACAAAGAAAAGAAAAAAGUAGAGAAACUUAAGAAAACGGGGAAAAAAGUUGCCAAAGGGAAGAAACCAAAGAAACAAAAAACGCACAAGAGAAAAAUUUUAAUGUCCAGUUCUUCAAAUAGUGAUGAUGGAGACCAAAUAUGCGACGAUGACAGCGAUGAUGACAUGAAUGUGGAUAAUGAAAAUUACAAUAAAAUGCAUCAUCUGCGAAGAAUUCGGCAAAAACAAGGAAUUGUGGUACCGUUGCACCCUCUGCGGGCUGUGGGCCCACGCCAUAUGUUCGGGAUGGGAUGCACCAGAUGGUUUUAUCUGUGAUUUAUGUGUUCAAAAAUAAUUGUUAUCAUUUUCUAAUUAGUCCUAGCUUUGACAAUAAUGAUUAGUUUAUGAUACUAUGAUAAUUAAAGUGAAUUGUGAUAGUUGAUUUUAAGUUCAAAAAUUUUACCAUAAUUGUUAAAUUAAAAAAGACUGAUUUAUCGUACGAAUAGGGGUUAAUUAAUACGAAUUUGUGUUUCUAGAACUCACUUUUAUUUUAUAAUGUUGAUAUCAUUCCUGUUUUUUUAAUUAACACAUAUAUAAUCGGUUAUAUUUCUUAAAAACAUGUUUGAGCGUCGUUACCCCGUACCCCGAGCGGUAUUACCCAGAGUAAGGGGGCAAUGCCGCUCAAGCAUGCUUUUUUUAAAAUGUUUUUUUACUAUUAGUAAAUAAAAGGUAUACGCUGUUAUUGUUAACUAGUUGAUUACUAGAGAGUUAAAGACUAUGUUUCUUUUUUAAAUUUUGAAUUAAAAUGUCUAAUCAAAAAAAUA